rnacentral:misc_RNA from 1 species
AGCAGCCGCGGUAAUUCCAGCUCCAAUAGCGUAUAUUAAAGUUGUUGCAGUUAAAAAGCUCGUAGUUGAAUUUCGGGACCAUCAUGUUGGUCGUGCCUCGGUACGUACUGGCAUUGUUGGUUUCUCCCUUCUGACGAACCAUGAUGUCAUUUAUUUGGUGUCGUGGGAAAUCAGGACUGUUACUUUGAAAAAAUUAGAGUGUUUAAAGCAGGCUCACGCUUGAAUACAUUAGCAUGGAAUAAUGAAAUAGGACGUUUGAUUCUAUUUUGUUGGUUUCUAGGAUCGACGUAAUGAUUAAUAGGGAUAGUUGGGGGCAUUAGUAUUCAAUUGUCAGAGGUGAAAUUCUUGGAUUUAUUGAAGACUAACUACUGCGAAAGCAUUUGCCAAGGAUGUUUUCAUUAAUCAAGAACGAAAGUUAGGGGAUCGAAGACGAUCAGAUACCGUCGUAGUCUUAACCAUAAACUAUGCCGACUAGGGAUCGGGAUGAUGUUAAUUUAUAAUGACUCAUUCGG